UCCACCAAGGCRCCCUUUUUUUGUUUGACCUCGGAUCAGGUAGGRAUACCCG
rnacentral:rRNA from 1 species